rnacentral:lncRNA from 1 species
CCUUGGAGUGAGCUCUCAGUGCCUGGGUGGCCUCUAGCUUACUGCUGGUUCACUGGGCUCCUUCUGCCUCAAUGGGCCAGCUCCCAGGACUAUAAAUCAUAUAGAUGUGAACUCCAUCCUGAACGGCUCCUGAACUACAUUUGGAAGAGAGGCAUGCUGGUACCCAAGCGUGUGGAUCCACUUCCAGAGCAAGUCUUGAUGUGCAGUCCAGGCUGAUGUAUAACUUGGUAUAUAGACCAGACUGGUCUCAACGUGGCGACAAUCCUCCCGCCUUACCUCCUGAGUGCUGGGGACCACGCCAGCCUGCUUUCCUCUGCCGUUUGCCUCCGGUGUGUGUCAUCUUGAUGAAGCCUGACUAUCAGUGUAUCUCCUUUAUCAGUUUCCAAGGAUCUUGUCAGCAAGAACAGGGUGUUUUCCUGCUUAUUCAUGUCCUCAGUCCAGGCCUUGACCUGAGCUUAGUAUGUGUUUGAAAUGUGACAAACUCUGGCAACUUAAAAAUUUGGCACCCUGUAAGCAAACACAGAGAGGACAUGUUUUCUCCCCACUUUGGAUUU